AAGCCGUACAAGAUUUCCGUCGUGAACCUGCGGAAGGGUCAUUAACGCGUAUCCAACAUUAUUUGUUGUGGCGAAGACUUUUAAGCUCAGUUCAUACCCUUUGGUUGGCGUAUCCAUCGCUGGAAAGCUAUGGCUUCCCGCAAAAACGAGGCGCCUGGAAUCUAAGUGAGUUGGAACCCCGAGCAACUGUUAGCAAUGGAUAUCUUGGCUCUC
rnacentral:misc_RNA from 1 species